rnacentral:rRNA from 1 species
CAGUAGCCGCGGUAAUACGCAGGUGGCAAGCGUUGUCCGGAAUUAUUGGGCGUAAAGGGCUCGCAGGCGGUUUCUUAAGUCUGAUGUGAAAGCCCCCGGCUCAACCGGGGAGGGUCAUUGGAAACUGGGAAACUUGAGUGCAGAAGAGGAGAGUGGAAUUCCACGUGUAGCGGUGAAAUGCGUAGAGAUGUGGAGGAACACCAGUGGCGAAGGCGACUCUCUGGUCUGUAACUGACGCUGAGGAGCGAAAGCGUGGGGAGCGAACAGGAUUAGAUACCCCGGUAGUCCCUGUCUCUUAUAC